GAGCACGUAGGUGGGUUUGUAAGUCAGAUGUGAAAGCCUUCUGUUCAACGGAAGAAUUGCAUCUGAAACUGCGAGUCUUGAGUGUAGGAGGGAAGAAUGGAACUUCUGGUGGAGCGGUGAAAUGCGUAGAUAUCAGAAGGAACUCCGGCGGCGAAAGCGAUUCUCUGGCCUAUUACUGACACUCAGUGUGCGAAAGCUAGGGGAGCAAACGGGAUUAGAUACCCCGGUAGUCCUAGCCGUAAACGAUGGGCACUAAGUAGAGGGGUUUU
rnacentral:rRNA from 1 species